GACGAACGCUGGCGGCGUGCUUAACACAUGCAAGUCGAGCGGUAAGGCCCUUUCGGGGGUACGACAGCGGCGAACGGGUGAGUAACACGUGGGCGAACCUGCCCUUACGCUCCUGGGAGUAAACCCCCGGGAAACCCGGGGCGUAAUACCGGAUACGACCUCGAGCGGCAUCACUUGAGGUGGAAAGAACUUCGGCUAAGGAUGGGCCCGCGGCCUAUCAGCUUGUUGGUGGGGUAAUGGCCUACCAAGGCGACGACGGGUAGCCGGCCUGAGAGGGCGACCGGCCACACUGGGACUGAGACACGGCCCAGACUCCUACGGGAGGCAGCAGUGGGGGAAUAUUGCGCAAUAGGGCGAAAGCCUGACGCAGCGACGCCGCGUGAGGGACGAAGGCCUUCGGUCGU
rnacentral:rRNA from 1 species